GGGGAGGUAGCUUAUUUGUAGAGCACUUGCCCAGCAGGCAUGAGGCCCUGGGUUCAAUCCCCAGUUCUGCA
rnacentral:tRNA from 1 species